AACAUGAAAGAAUGCGAUUGAGGAUGCCACUUCCUUGCGGCUCCAUCACCAUCAAUCCAUCGUCUGUUUCAUCUCCGAUCGGUGACAACCGCCGUCAAAUCUCCCUCGCCAGUAACCGCAACCGCAGUGACGGAGCAGAGAACGGACGCUCAUCACCACCGAUCGAAGCUUCUCUCGUGCUCUUUCUCCCUCGCUUGGUGCGUGCGGGAGAGCUGAGGAACCGAGCGAAGCAAGAAUGCACGCGCACAGACCGAGAAAAAUAUCUUCCUCUCUCAGCUUGAGCGCUCUGGACCGAAUCCAGUGUCCACGCCCGCGGUCGAAGCCAGUUGCAGCUGAAUAUCUUCGUCCAGCAAUUUCGUCGCUGAAACGAUUCGUCGCCUUAGCUUCAUUUUUGUGAGAUUCUCCAAGUCUUUCAGUGUCUUCAUUUAUUAGCAGGUAACCGUUCAGAUCGGAUCUCCCCAAGGUAAGAUGCGGUCGAUUCAUGGAGACUCGAUCAUACGAUUCUUUUGAGUUUGCCUUUUGCCGAGAGCUUCAAAUUGUUGUCUCAAAUUGCUCGUGUUAUAUUGCUCGCCGAUUUAUAGGAAUUCCUAUUUGUAGAACACCUCACCCUUCAUGAUCACCACCCGUUCGAUGUUUUGCCUCAGAGAUGCUAAUGACGAAUUUGUCUUCAUCAUCGAUCAAUCUGAGAUUGCAUAGCGUGAUCUGGAUGUUCUUGUUCGACAUGCUGAUCAUAUAUUGUGAAUUUUCAUGCUUCAUCCUUUGAUGGCACAGAGUUCUCUUUCCCUUGGUGCUUCAGUUUACUUUGUCUCCUUCGGUUGUGUGACUGAAUUGUUGUCUGGUAUAACAGUAAGUCACUAUACAUUGGUGGUUAAUAAAUCACAGCAAAGCUAUAUCAAGUUCAAUGUCGUUUUGAUGCUCAUAAAAGACCAUUCCACCAAAGCUCGAGAAAGAGAGUCCUCAACCUAAUUUAAAUUCCAAUUCAAAAUCUAUAGUUUCUACUUUCCCUUUUGAUAUUAAGAAGAGCAGUGCACUAGACCAAAAUUUGGUGAUAGCAACUUGGAAUUUUCUUUGCGGGAUUUCGGUGCAUAGACUUAAUUCUUACUGGCUCGUAAAUCCGAAAAUUCUCAAUAUGAAUAUUAGUAUCUUUUGGCUUGAUCAACACGAAAAUAUGAGAGAGCAAGCUUGCUUCAUGUCAUGGGGUGUGUUUGAUUGAUACCUUCCAUGACUAUGAUAAUGACGUAUUCUUGGAAAGUCAAUUCAAUAGUUAUUUUAUGAGUGGAGUGAAUAGAUGAUAUAUAAGGAUUAUCCAUCUGUUAGUUUUACAAAUGAGACGGUAUAUUAUGUUUUCUCAAUUUAAACAGGAGAAGUUAGAUAAAAAGGUAUUUUGGUUUUAUAAUGUACCAUUAGUUCUUGAAUUUUUUUAUAGCCGAUUGAGAUCUUAAAACAACCUAAUUUUAUUUUAACUCCUAUACAACUGUGGUAUUCUAUCCUCUCAUCUUCUUCAAAGAGUUUAUUUUCAUGUUGUGAUUUUUGUUUCACGCUCAAUCAAAGGCUAGGGCACAAUUACAAGGAGAUAAAGGAGUGCCACGAAGGAAAUGAUGAUCAAUGAGGCAGAAAGCGAGGGUGAUAGUCUCUUUGGACUGCUCUGUUUUGUCCAAAAUUCCACGAGGUAAGAAUGGAACAAGAUCAUCCAUGAAUUUCGAAUAAUGGCUUGGGUGUAGAGCGAGAGUAUAGAGCUUCCAUAGCCAUUGACAGCUGCGAGAACGAGAUUAUCUCCCACUGCCAGUGCUUGUCCCUUCUCUAUUUCGUCUGAAGAAACCCCACUGCUUGAUGUCCACCAGGUUUUUGUGAUUUUGCCUAACUGAAUCCAGCUUUAAGCGCCCUCUACUCCCAAAAAAAAAAAGAAAAACCAAACCUGUUGUUUAAUUUACCGUUUUAAAUGUUUUGACUACUAGUUUUUUGAAGUUUGUUCUAUUUGUUUUGUUUAGUAUUUUUAUGUAGCAGCUUGUUUCAAAGCAAAGUGACAUUCAAUCUACUAUAUCGAUGCUCAGGUCAAUUUAGAUGGAUCAGGAUAUUCUAUAUACACAAAAUUUCGUGUAAAGAUUUUCUGGAGGAUUGCUGCUAUCCCUCGGUGUAAUGCCAGAAUAAAACCGGCGUAAUGUGAUCAUGUCUUGUAGACUUCUUGUCCUGGAUGAGAAUUUUUCUUAUUGUGCUUGGGAGGCAGAGUCUAUUUUCAUCUCAUGCCGUUGGUACAUAUCCACUAGCAUCUAUUUCUUUUUCUUCCCAAACCUUGUUCGCUUUAUAAUUGAUAUAGGAAGGACUUAUGUUAUCACAGAUUUAAAAGUACCAACUAUGAAAGUUGAAGUUAACUCUUGAAAAUACUGCUUAGUGGAGGACUCUAACUGAGCCUAACAAAUAGCAAGAGAGACAACAGAGCAUGGGGGCAAGUUUCUGUUUGAAUUUGGAAAGUGAAGUUCUUGUUAUAUACUAUUUGAGAAGAUAACAUUGUCGUGGUUUUGAUCCUUUUUUUUUCCUCACUUUGUGCAUCGUUGCUGUAAAGGAUGAUCUCGAGAUGAGUUUGUUUUAUUUUUAUUUUUAUUGUUAUUGUUAUUGUUAUUAUUACUGUUACUGUUACUGUUACUGUUAUUCUUAUUCUUAUUCCUUAUUUCUUGUGAAUUAAAAAGUAGAAAUGAGAAACUACUUUGAGUUGGAUGGCCUUGACUCAAUGCUAGCUGACCCCAAGUUUAUAAUGCAUCAAUUGUGGUAGCAUAGAUGGAAAUAUUCUUGCAUGCUAGAAAUGCUUGGAUAGAUAGCAUACGCGUAAGGUAUGGGUGAUAAUUUUAAGAAACAUAUACCUAGAGCUAUUGAAAAAGCCUAGACCGAACCAGUCAGAACGGAAUCAACUCAAGUCAAACUGCUUAUUUUGGAUUUUUUGGGUCGGGUAUUCUAUGUAUUCAGGUAUUAUGUGAAAAAUCGGAUAUCAUAAAAUACGCUAUACUCUUCUAGAUCACUAUCAAAUCCAUCUUCUUUGUUAUAGACUCUCUAGCUCCCAAAUCUAUUGUCUCCAUUGGAGACUCUCCAAGAUCGCGAAGCUCUCUACUUUUGAAUUCAUCUUUCAGAUUGCGAAGCUCUCUCACUCCUGCACCUUCUCAUUGUCUUUCCGUUCUCUUUGCGUCUACUCUUGCUUCCUCUCUCUCUCUCUCUCUCUCUCUCAUGACUUCCAUACAGAAGUAUCGAAGCGACCUCUUAGAUCCACAAGGAGGACGGCAAUUCAGUCUAUCUAAAGAGUAACUCUAAACCAAAUUAUUUCGCUCGCUGUCUACGCUCUACUGUCAUUAAUUUCUCUUUGUUUAUCUUUGGGGCUGUUUGGUAACGUUUCUGUUCUUUUUUUGUUCCAGGGAGCAGAAACAAAAAAAAGUGUUUCUGUUUCGGGGAACACUUUUUGAACAAAAAGAUGCGUUUGGUAAAUUUGUUCCGAAAAUAAAAAAUAAACAGAAACACGUUUGGUAAAUUUUUGUUCUUUUUUUGUUUCUUUUAAUUUUUUAAUAUUUUUAUUUUCAUUUUUCAUUUUUUCCUUUAUUUUUUAUUUUUUCUUUCGGCCGGCAGCCUCGCCUAGCCACGGCGAGGCUCGCCUUGGCUGGGCGAGCUCGGGCUCUGCCAGAUUCGGCGAGGCCGCGCCUCGCCCAUGGCUGGGCGAGGCUGCGGGCCGAAAGAAACGGUAAAAAAUAAAGGAAAAAAUGAAAAGUGGAAAUAAGAAUAUUAAAAAAUUAGAAAGAAACUAGACCUGAAACANNNNNNNNNNNNNNNNNNNNNNNNNNNNNNNNNNNNNNNNNNNNNNNNNNNNNNNNNNNNNNNNNNNNNNNNNNNNNNNNNNNNNNNNNNNNNNNNNNNNAAGCUCGAGCCUCGCCGGAUCUGGGCGAGCCCCAAGCUCACCCAGCCAAGGCGAGACGAGGCGUCGCCGGCGCGAGCGAGGCCGAGCCUCGCCUUGGCUGGGUGAGCUUGGGCUCGCCCAGAUCCGGCGAGGCUCGAGCUUGCCCGCGCCGGCGAGGCUCGAGCUCGCCCGUGCCGGCGACGCCUUGCCUUGCCAGGGGUCGGCGACGCUCCGGCGAGGUCGCCGGCCCUCGACGGCCAGCCAUGGCCGAGGCCGAGGCUGAGGCCGGCGACCAGCCAAAGAGAAAGAAGAAGAAAAGAGGAAGAGAAGAGAAGAGAGAGAAGAAGAAACAAGAAACAAAAAAUUGUUUCUUCAAAAUUGUUUCUGGAACGAGAAACAACUUUUUUUUGUUUCUCGUUUCUGUUCUUUUUGAGUUCCAGAAACAAAAAAACAAAAAAGGAACAAAAACGCAAACAAACGCGUUUAUGUUCUUUUUUUGUUCCCUGGAACAAAAAAACAGAAAAUCUGUUUAUAAACAGAAACAAGAAGUGAAAACAUGCCGGGCCUUUGUUGUUCUUGUUUUUGUUUAUCGGGUUAGUUUAAUCAAAAUAUGAAAAAGUUCUAAACUAAUAAUAUUGUUGUUAUGAAAAUGUCAUUUAUAUUAAUUUUAUUAUCUAUUAAUUUGAGAAUAUCAUUCUUUUCAAAAUUGAAGAUAUAUCUCCCCCAUCUCACAAUCAUUUAAGUUUCUUUCCAAUUGCCUUUUUAAACGUUUAUCUCUUCUGCACACAAACAAUAUUUUUUCUUUAUCUUUCAUAUGCGUUUCUUUUCAUGGGCACACAUGUGGUUUUAAUUGUUCACAAAUCUGAUGAUUUAUGAUAUUUUCAUCAUGUCUAAAAUGAGUGUCGUGUAUAUUUCGUAAAAUCUUGAAGAAGAAAAAGGGCAACCGGUAUUUGCCAGUUUGAAAACCUGAGGCACGAUAUAACAUUGCCCUGUAGAAAUCCCCACUAACUACUACUAUUUUGGGCUUUCCCACAUCCCACCUGCACCACCACGACCACAGAGAAAGGCCACCCCAAAUCAGUUUCACUUUUCACACUAACUCCUGAAACACAAAUAGUUAAAGAAAUAACCAGAAACCUUAGUACCAGCCGGUGAAAUGAAUUAGCAAUUUUUUAUACGACUAAAUAAUGACCAUAAGAUGAUAAAAGAAAAAUCAUCAUGAAAAUAUAAUCCAAGAGUAGUCAUUGAAUAAUUCAUUAUGUGCUUACCCAAAGGCAAUCGAGGAUCAUGUGAGGCUAAUUAGGCUCAAGUAGGUGUCGAUGUUCCCCAUCAGCUUACUUCGUACCAUGAUCAAGAUCAUGCUUGCCAUGACGCUCGUCGGCUGGAUCUGCUCAUUGUUCUUGGAGAUGCAGCGGGGAGCACACUUACGUUGCACAAGAAACGAAGAACCUCCUCUCAAAGCCUCCGUUGAUUCACGCCGCUGCCCCAGCCGCGUCACCUCAGCUCCCCUCUAUCUCUCUGCGUCCAUCUGCUUUGGGGGACGAAUCCAGGCUCGCGACCUUAGAUCUGGGGUCAUUUCCCUCGGGCUAUGUCGCCUGAGGCUGGCUACGGCUGAGACGUUCUGCUGUCUUCCGCAACAAAGGGACAAAAACAUAAGAGAGGUGCAACAACAGCUAGGAAUAGCGAUAGUGACAGGAAUGCCACGGUGGCAGGGACAUGAUGGCGCUUCCCCGGGGGGCAAUGACGGCGAUGGCGGGACAGUGGGAAAGGAGGCGUAGAGAAGAUAAAGGGGCAGGGGAAACUUAGGUUGAGUUUAAGGGUAAAGUAACAAAUUAAAGUCAUAUUAUGUAUAUAUAUAUCCACAAAACUCAAAAUUCUUAAUGGGCAAAUUGAGAUAUUUGUUAAAAGAAAAAGUUGCGCAAAUUUCAAAUAGAUUAAGUGUUGUCAAUAUCAAAAACAGUACAUAAUACAUUAACAUCUGGCCUAUUCUAAUUUACAUCUGUAUUCUAUUUUCCCAUAUAUAUAGUUAUAAUCGAAGCUGAAAGAAUAUUCACUAUGAAGGGUGAACCAGCUUCUGUGAAUUCGUUGUUUCUUUUUCUCUUGGAUAAUUGGCUACAUUACGUUGGUUGUUUGCCAGGCCUCAGCCGAAGGCAAUAAUAACCACGUAUGGAUUUUGCAUUGUCUCUCCUUUGUUCGUUCUUUCUUCCUUUUAGGAGAACUUCGUUUCUUCUUACGCAUGCUUAACAAAUGUCCUCAUUAACAUGUCUUAGUUUAAUAUGGUGUCUUGAGACAACAGUCUUUCUUUCCGCAUUGGCACCAUCACAGCCUAUGAGGAGUGGCCAUAUGAAAUUGUAUCCUAAAAUUUGUGCUGGCGUCCUUUUGCAUGGACAUCUUCAUGAUUUAAUCUUCUCAGAUCGAAUUGUUAUUGCUUGCUUCAUUUAAUUCAACAGCUUGGGCAAGCUUAUAUUAUCUAUGUCUCUGUCGUCUAUCAUAUUAGAAUUUUGGAGGCCAAGAUAAUCAAAGAUCUCUGAACUGAAAAUGUACGAUGUGUUCCUAAGCUUCAGAGAUAGGGAAGUCUGUGAGAACUUCGUUAAGAGUCUGAACGAGGCCUUGGUCCAGAAGGGCAUAAAGACGUUCAUGGACAGCGAGAACUUACUGAUGGGCCAGGAUUUCCCAUCAAAACUGAAGGAGGCCAUCGAACAAUCUCGCAUAUACGUCGUUAUUUUCUCAGAAAACUACGCUGAAUCUCAGUGGUGUCUGAAGGAGUUGGUGCAGAUUAUGGGGAGAAGAACAGAACAAAACAGCUGCUACCGAUAUUUUAUAAGGUGGCACCGUGGGAAGUGAGGGGACAGAAUCCACAAGAGGUGAGGGGAAAGAAACAGAGUUAUGAGAAAGCGUUGACCGCCCAUGAGAGCAAGUUUGGGAAGCGCAAGGUUAAAAAAUGCAAGGAGGCUCUCUCUAAAGUUGCCAAUGUGAAUGGAAUACAUCUACAUGAUGGAAAAGAUUUCGAACUCAUUUACAUUCUCCUUUCAGAAAUAAUUAUGCUAAAUGUAUAAUUUCUACUAUGACAUCGAUUUCUGCCUUGUUUUUUGUCGGGUAUAAGUAUAAGGCCACUGUAUUGAUGUAUUGUUCUAUUAUGAUUGUGACAUAUGCUUCGAGUGGGAAAUAUAACUUGAAAUUUGAGAGCUGGAGUCGAGUCCACUGCAUCCCAUAAGGUGUGCAAUAAAUAUGUCAAUCAAGUCAAAUGAUCCGUAUUCAACAGCACCAAUAUGUCCAUUAUCCAGCAAUUGUGAAGUUAUUCAAUAAAGUCCUCAAUAUGAAUUGAAGGGCAUGUAUCAAAAUUUGGAUUUAGUCGAUCUGCUCAAUAGGAGGAUAUGCUUUGCUCCUUCUCCAAUCUGAAGUGGCCAAUAUAUUUUUCCCAGUAAUUCAAUAAUUUUUUUUUUGGUAAGGUAAGUAAUGUAAUUCAAUAAAUUUUGUUGCUACAUAAGCCAAUAUUGACUAGAAAAGACUCAAUCUAAUCAGAAACUCUUUUGGCUCCGUGAAUGUGCUCCUCUUAUUGGGAUUAUGAUGUCCACUUAGUCGAUGGCUAUAUUUCAUAUUAUUCAUAUUUUUCUCGCUUUUCUGUUUCGACAGGAACAUGCAUGGUUACAUCCCUAGAAUUGUUAAAGAGAUAGAGAGAAUGAUGCAAAGGAUCGGAUGACAUCUAGGAUGAAAAAGCUCAAAAUGGCAGUUUCAUCAGACAAAAUAUAAUUUCAUUUCACUUGUAUGACAUUACUCCUUCUAAAAGUCACAAAUAAAAAUUGCCACUUUUCCUCUAUUCUCUCUAGGUUUCUCCUCUUCAUCUUAUCUUUACACAGCUUUCUUCUUCAACCUUCAUGGAGGGGAGAAUAUAAGCUAGAGUCCCCUCCUUUUUUUUUUUUUUUCCUUUUUCUUUGGUUGAUUUGGUUCUAUGUUCUAUUUUUCUUGAUUUUCUCUCAUCUUGCGAAGCUUUCCUCUUUUGAUUUAGUCUAGAUUUGAAAGCUCCUCUCUCCCAUUUCAGGAAGGUUUCUAUCUCGAUCCAGUCUAGAUCUGGGGAUUUUGGCAUGUAUGAUUUCAACAUUUCGCUUCCCUUAUGUUUCAUUGCUAUAGAAGUCCAAUUUCAAAGGAAAUUUGAGGAGCUUUGUUUCGAUCUCACGGGUGUCAUAUCUAUGCUCAUUCAGCCUUAUUACUCUAAACGGUCAUGGUGUUGGGAUUGCCGAACCUAGGUAUGCACUGCCAAAAGAUAUAAAUUAGAUUUGAAUGAGCAAAACUUACGAUUUCAGAAUUUUAGAGUAUGAAGUAUUGGCAAUAAAUUGGAUUAAGAGAGGUGGGUGAGGUCUAUAUGAUAAAUUCUACAGAGCAACAUGGAAGACCACAGCCAUUCAACAAGCAAUUUGGAUCAAUGCAAUAUGCAUCACAAUUCAUAUAGGAGAGGAAAAAAUAGUUCCUCAACCAUAGUCAGUACUAGUAAGCAUAAUGUGAAAUAUGUAUUUCAUAGUGAUUUUAAUUUGAAUCGAAGGAGCAUACGUUUAAAAUUUUCUAGUAGAGACUAAUAAAGGGAAAAUCAUAACUCAUAAGGUAUUGGAAUGAAAAUCAUCCAGUUUGCUUCCCCUAGAAUCACUUCCUCAACAAGACGUUUCCUAUCCAAACAGGCAUGUUUCACCGGUCAACGCGCAAAUAACAGUUGGUACAAGUGGAACCCAUGGUCUCGGCAUAGUUAAGACCAUCUUAUCUUCUUUGUUAAAUUGUUCAGCUUUCCUCUACAUCUGCUUCUCCUGGAAUAUCUUCUUCCUCAGUGCCUAUUGAUUUGUCUUCCUUUGAGUCUCUUUCCCUGAGAAUCCAAUUAUUUUCUAUCAGCUGACAAUGUUGAAGUACGGCCUUAGAACAUCCUCCUGUUGCUGGCAUUUUAGACGAAAUCAGCACUUCUUUAAGCUUCCUUUUGAUGCUCUGAGGCAAAAUUGGAAAUGGCUCCAAUCAUUUCACAGAUGCUUCUCAACUUCAAACAAAAUACUGUGGAGGACAUAGUCAAGCCACGCAGGAUUGGAUUCCAAUGAAAUCAAGCUAUUCACAUACCAAAUCACCCUUGGUCAUAUAUUAAAUAUAUGGACGUCACACAAAACAUUGGCCACUUUUCCUUCCUCCAAGCCGAAUGCAACAUGGAGUGCUAGUCCUAAAAAGUUGUCAUGCAAGUCCUAGGGAUCAUUGAGAGAUAUGGAGACCUCUUUACAAUGAAGAAACCAUUAUGGUAUCUAUCUUCCAAUUAGGAUAAUGUCAACUCACGGUGAGUUCCUGUCAUAUAUAUAUGCGAACAAUUGAAGUGUCGUCAUGCUCCAACAACCUUAGUCGGUCAAAACAAAUCAGAUGCUUGAAACAGGCUAGGAGGAACACAAUCAAAUAUGUUUGAGCAAUAUCUAGUGUUGCGUUGAGAUGUGCAAAAAUCGUUAUCCAAUCUGUUCGAUGAUAUGAAUGGAUAUCUUUGGGAGUAGGGCAUACAAAAGGUCGAAUACAAACCCAUGACAACGUGUGGUCAAAUUUUGGUCAACCUUUUACAUACUCGACCUUAAAGGAAGAAGAAGGUUCAAAUCAAACAGAGCCAGAGAAAGCUGGUCGAGUUCAAACGGAUUCAAAGGAGAUCAUCAUCUUCCUCUGGAAAGGCAUGGCAACCAUGACUAUGGUGUAGUACUAGUUCAAAUGGCACCUGCUGCUGUUAUAGUAGUGCUGGCUUGCAACACUCAAUAUUUGUUGAAUUGAUCGCGGCUUCUUAAGGAAAUAAUUCUGAGGGAAACGAACCGGCCAAUUUUGAUUUUCACGCCUUCACAUUUUACCUUUUCCUUUUUCAUUUUUGUCCCCAGAAGAACUUGUUACAUGCUUACUCGCUCAAUUCCAAUUCGAAAUCCAUAUUGAUACAAGAUUCGUCCAUCAGGCUACUCACGUGCCAAGAGAAUUGUCGGGUGAAAUCAUUUCAGUGUGAAUUGUGGCUCAAAACUUUCGUUCAAAGUAUUGUGGUCAAUCUACCUUUCCUUAUGACAUUGCGAAGAGCCACGUACUAGAGCUAAAUUUGAUGAUACCUUUUCGAGUAUUUUUUUUUUUUUGUAGGAAUUCGGUGCCUAGACUUAAUUCUUACUCAGCUAAUAAAUCUAAGAAGUUCUCAGUAUGAAUAUAAAUAAAUUUUUGGCUUGAUCAACAUGAAAAUAUGAUAGAGCAAGAUUGCUUCAUGUCAUGGGGCAUACUUGAUUGAUACACUCGAUGACUCUGAAAAUGUCAUAAUCAUGGGAAACCGAUUCAGUAGUUAUUUUAUGAGUGAAGUAAAUAGAUGAUGUAUGAAGUCUAAUUAUCCGCUAGCUUUACUAAAAGAGAUAAUCUGUGAGACUUUUUUUUUUUUCCAGAUAAAAGAAGAAGAAGAAGAAGUUAGAUAAGAAGGUAUUUUGGUCUUAUAAUGUACCAUUAGUUCUUAAACUUCUUUAUAGCCAAUUGAGAGGAUAAACAACCCAAUUUAUUUUAACGAUAAUAGAGUUACUAAAAUUUAAUAUCUUGUGGUAUACUCUAAGUAGCACGGACACUCACACACGACAUGACACGACACAACACGUCGUUUCUAAAAAAACAGAGAAUUCCAACACGUUAGGACACUUUGUAUAUUAAAUGUAUAUUUUUAUAUAUACAUAAUAAAUUAUCAUUUUUAGGAUUAUUUUAAUCAAAUUAAUUUGAUUCAAAUUCACAAAUAAAUAAAUAAUUAAAAAAGCCUAGAAUGAAUUUACACUAAAAACAUUAAUCAACCAUUUAUUAAUGUCACUCAUUGUUUCAAUUUGACAAAUUCAACUUUAUUCCAAUAAUUCAUAAAACUUGGAGAAAAAACAAGUAAUCUAUAUUUUGGACUUGCAUGUUAGAUAUGUCGGAAGAGGAGAAAAAAAUUUAAGGGGUGAAUCGUGUGUCACGAAAAGUGAGACUUAGAAGAAAAGAGAAGACUAGAUUUUUUUUUUCUUUCUCCAUUUAUUAUUUUUAUUAUUGUAUUUUUUUUCACAUAUAUAUAUUUUGACCUCUUAUUUAUUGAAAUUUUUAAAAUUAAUCUCGAUAUUAGAAUCAUAUGUCGAAAACUCAUAUGUCGGAAUUCCGACUUGAGUGUUGGAGAGUGUCAGGAAAGUUGAUGAUGUGUUGAAUUUUUUAACACGUGUUAACCGAGUGUCGGAGAGUAUUUGAGAAUGUCAGAAAAUAUUGGACAUAUGUCAAAGUGUCCGACACGACGCAAAGGCUCUUGGAGAGUGUUGGUAUUUCAUAGGGUAUACCAAUGAGGUGACGGUUUUUUAUUUUUUUUGACAAAAUGAGGUGAUGGUUGAUGUGGCAGAUUACGUGGGCAUUUGAUACGAUGCUUAGUAAACGUGAGCGAGGAAUACAAAAGGAAAAGCAAAUCAGACUAGUUGAAGAUCAUGAAAGCGAUGGUUUUGAGGCUCUUGGAUCGAGCCUAUUUUUCUUCUUCUACUCUCCAUCCUCUGGAUUUCCUCUUUCUUUUUUUCUUUUCUUCCGAUGACUUCAAAGAAGCUCGAUUGAUCUCUGGUGCGUCGCGACUAUCCUUUGCUGCCGGGGUACUCGAGCAAAGGCCGUGGCACAAUUACAAAGGGAUAAUGCAGUGCCGCAGUGGAAAUGAUGAUUGGUUAGGCAGAGAGAGAGGAUGAUAAGAGUCCCCCUUGGACUGCUUUGUUCAGUCGAAAAUUCCACGAGGUAAGAAUGGAAAAAAAUCAUCUGUGAAGAUGAAUAAUGGCUUAGCCGUGGAUUGAGAGUUUAGAGCUUCGAAAGCCAUUGACAACUACAUGAACAAGAUCAUCUCCUACCGCUUGCCUCUUCUCACUUUCGUCUGAAGAAACCCCGCUGGGUGACCUCCACCAGAUGGUUGUGAUUUUGCCUAACUAAAUCCAGCUUUAUACUACACCCUCCUCCCAAUAAAAACCAAACCCAUUGUUUAUUUUGGGGAUUUAAAUGUUUUGGCUACUAGUUUUGUGAAAUUAGUUCUCUUAUUUGUUUUUAAGAUGUGUAGUAGCUUGAUCCAAAGCAAAGUGACCUCCAAUCUAUUGUAAAAACUUCUAAACUUUUGGAAGAAAAGCUGCGAUCCCUCGCUUGUGAUGCUGGAAUUAAACCAGGGGAAUGUAGUCGAGUCUUGUGGACUAGUCCUCGAUGAGAAUUGUUCUUAUUGUAUUUGGGAGGUACAGUCUAUUAUAAUCUCAUCUUGUUGGUAGGUAUCCAUUGAUAUGUACAUGGCUUUUUUCUUUUUUUCUUUAUGUUGUUCGUUUUUAUGUUGAUCUAGUAAUGACUUAUGUUCUUCACAGGUUUAGAAGUUCCAACUAUGG
rnacentral:lncRNA from 1 species